rnacentral:rRNA from 1 species
GAUGAACGCUGGCGGCGUGCCUAACACAUGCAAGUCGAACGAACAGACCAGGAGCUUGUGCCUUUGUCGUUAGCGGGGGGCGGGUGAGUAACGCGUGUAUACCCUACUUCUAUUUCUGGGAUAAUUACGGAAAGCCGGAUCAAAUACGGGAGAAUAUAUUGAACCGCGGGGUGAAAUGGUAAAUGACGGCUUUGGUGUAUGUACUAGAGGCUUCCGCGCUGGUUUAGCUAGUUGUGAAGGUACCGGCUUACCAAGGCAACGAUGCGUGGCCGACCGGAGAGGGUGAUCGGCCACACUGGAACGGAGACACGGUCCAGACGCCUACGGGAGGCAGCAGUAGGGAAUGUUACGCAAUGGGCGAAAGCCUGACGCAGCAACGCCGCGUGAGUGAUGAAGGUCUUCGGAUCGUAAAGCCCUGUUAUUAGGGAAGAACAACUGUGUAAGUAACCGUGCCCGUCUUGACGGUACCUAAUCAGAAAGCACCGGCUAACUACGUG